GGAGGAGUGCCCGGAAUUGGUAACGGACUGGUUUCGAAAACCAGCGCCCGCAAGGGCUUGUGGGUUCGAGUCCCACCUCCUCCG
rnacentral:tRNA from 1 species